rnacentral:rRNA from 1 species
GACGAACCGAGCGAACGUUGUUCGGAAUCACUGGGCUUAAAGGGCUCGUAGGCGGGCUGUCAAGUCUGGGGUGAAAUCCCACGGCUCAACCGUGGAACUGCCUUAGAUACUGACGGCCUCGAGGGAGAUAGGGGCGAGCGGAACUGUGAGUGGAGCGGUGAAAUGCGUUGAUAUUCACAGGAACUCCGGUGGCGAAGGCGGCUCGCUGGAUCUUUUCUGACGCUGAGGCGCGAAAGCUAGGGGAGCAAACGGG